rnacentral:lncRNA from 1 species
CAACAUAUACCAUUUGAACAAAUUUGGAAAAAAAAUCUCAGGUUAUUACAAUAUAGAUCCAAAAAAUGUUGAAAAUUAACAUUACUUCUUUUUUUAAAAAUUAAAUUAAAAUUGAUACGACCCAUGAAAAGGGCAUCGGAGAUUUUUACAUGGUUACGUCGAAACGUCGGAAAACUCAAACAACACGAGCAUAAAGCAAAGAAACAAAACAAGCAAAACACAACAUAGACCUAGAUCUAAAAGAGAGAUGAAACUUAAGCGAGGGAAAGAAGACUAGGAGACAUGAAGCCCCACCUCCUACGAACACGAAAGGGUGACACUCCGACGUCGCCGCAACUUCACACCGACCGGCGUGUUCGGAACCGGCCGUAGAUCCAUCCACGACUAAUCUUCAUAGUCAGAGCCUUCCCCGAAGGAGUCCUGCAGCCCCGUAGCGCCGGUUUCCAGUGGAGGAGCCGACUCUCAAACCAUCCUCCGCAAAGCUCCGCUGCAGCCUCGCCGUCGCACACGUCUUGAGCACCGCACACAAACCCUAAGUCCUCCGGCCAAAAGAAGCUUCGCAUCUAAGAGAUCCAGAUCUUAGAGAAUCGCCAUCCCUAAGAGAGGUUCGUCGACGUCGGAAACCUUCACAGCACCGGCAGAGAAAACAAAAUCCUAGCCCCAAUAACUAACAUGCGAGAAAACCAGUUGGCCUCCGCCGUCCUCAAGCAGAGAGCGACAAACCAGUCUCCGACGAUUUACCAGGACAUGUAUUUGAACUAGAGGACCACUGCUUCAGUGACUUAACCGCCGCAGAGAGAAGAAGAGUUUGCGCCACCUUGACCACGAAACCUUGUCGAUUGAGCACAGGAUCCGAUGAGCGAACAAGAAAAGGGGUGGGAGGGAGCAACCUCACGUACCAACGUCAAACGCCAUUGGUCGGAGGCGCUCCUCCCAGAUCUGAAAUCGAAAAUUUUGAGAGAGAAUACAAGUGGGCACGUGAACACAAUCGCCACUCAAAGGCCUUAUUGGAUUUGGUAGAUCAACUUGGAUUUAAGUUAACAUUACUUCAACAUAAUACAAUACAAUAUCAUCUGAAAUUUUGUAACAUAUUUAAAAUUUCAUUAAAAAGUUUCAUCAAUAGUUUUUGAACCAAAAACAUGAAAAUAUUUAUUAACUAACUGUGAAUUCAAUUAUGAUUUAUAUAAUAAAACAAAAAUAUAUGAUAUUUUAUAUAUAAGUUUUAACUGACUAUUACAAUUUUU